rnacentral:lncRNA from 1 species
UCACUACUCCUUUCUUUAUUACUUCCAUUUCCAUAAAUGGAAUACCCAGCCGUCUGCUAAACCCAUUAUCGUAGUGUUGGAACAAUUUGUCAGACUUUGUACUAGUGUUUUAUAUAUAAAAUAUUAUAAAAUUAUUCAAUUUUUUUAGUCACCCAAUUAUUGUUUUAUAAUUUCGUUUAGUCACGCCUACAUAUAUGUACUAUUUAAGCUGACAUAAUUUCUAGACGGACAAAGUUCACAACCAAAUUUGUUUUUAUAACAUUAGUAUUGACCAAAAUAUAAUAACUAUGGAUCAAUUAUAGAAUCAUAAAACAAAUAAGUCUUUAUUUCAUUCAAUAAGUUUUGGAAUAAUUAUCGAUAAGAUUAAAAAUAAGUGUAACAGUAAUACAUAACGCUCACUGAGUAACGAAAUAUUGUAACUCCAAAAACAAUGUUUUUAGGAAAAGACAACAUUCUCUACAUUCAAAACAAAUUACAUUUUUCAAGAGCUGGUCUAAUAUCCAUACAUACAUGUAUGUAUAUGUUAAAGGUCUUUUAAAGGCAAUUUAGGAUGUUCUUGAAAUAUUGUUUACACGCGUGUUAGAUACUCUAUUAAAAAGUUGUGUUUUGCCUUAUAACUGUUAUCAAUGAAAUAUAAUUUAAAACGGGUUAUAAAUACUAAUCAUUAUUAAAAAAUAAUAGUAGUUUUUUUUUAAUUUCGUGCGUAAUAUUUUUUUCCUAACACCCACUAUCACGAUGAUUUAACAAUAAAACAUGUGCUGGAUAUCAGAGAAAGUAAUCGAUUUAAAUAGAAAUUUCCAAAAUUAACUAUUGUUACCACGGAAACUAGUCUUAACUAUAGUUUCUUCAUGUUUUUCAAAUAAUUAGUACAUGUGAACUAUGAUUAAAAUAAUUCAAUUAAAAAAUAGUUAAAAACUAACAGGUCGUUUUUUAAGAUAAUUUGAUAAAAUUUGAGCACUUCCAAUACGUCGAAUGGUUGGGAACAUGGAACUUAUAGAGGCCACAAAGCCCGAACUAUUGCGCCAGCGAGUAUAUGUUUUGCCCAAGUCAUAGCUUACAGAAAUGUUUUUAAAAGGGAAAAGCCUAGAUUACUUAUCGUUGUGACCAAUGAUUGUGGCUGAUAGGGUGAGACAGAGUCUAUCAUCAUGGUUGGAACAACCACAGUCUUUUUAAAUAGAGUAUAAGCCAAUAGAAUAAACCAAUAAGAUAAUAACAAAAAUCUGAAAUAAAGA